rnacentral:rRNA from 1 species
UGGGGAAUAUUGGACAAUGGGCGAAAGCCUGAUCCAGCCAUGCCGCGUGUGUGAAGAAGGUCUUCGGAUUGUAAAGCACUUUAAGUUGGGAGGAAGGGCAGUAAGCGAAUACCUUGCUGUUUUGACGUUACCGACAGAAUAAGCACCGGCUAACUCUGUGCCAGCAGCCGCGGUAAUACAGAUGGUGCAAGCGUUAAUCGGAAUUACUGGGCGUAAAGCGCGCGUAGGUGGUUCGUUAAGUUGAAUGUGAAAGCCCCGGGCUCAACCUGGGAACUGCAUCCAAAACUGGCGAGCUAGAGUAGGGCAGAGGGUGGUGGAAUUUCCUGUGUAGCGGUGAAAUGCGUAGAUAUAGGAAGGAACACCAGUGGCGAAGGCGACCACCUGGGCUCAUACUGACACUGAGGUGCGAAAGCGUGGGGAGCAAACAGG